AUGGACUGUCAGUCGGGCAAGAGGCUCUGGAGGUUUCUGGAGAACAGGCAAGGACAGGAGGCUCCCUCCUGGGAGAGGCAGCCAGGGGACGGGCCAGCGGUGUGGCAGCCGUGCCAGGGGGUCCUUCAGGAGGACUGGGUGCAGCUGCCUCUGGGCUCCUUGGAGGGGUCGCAGAGGGACUGUAGGCAGAGACCACCUCUGCCCCCACGCCGCGUGCGGUCUCCUGCCCCAGCUCAGAGCCCUCUUGCUGGUGGCGAUGAGCAGUUUCUGGGUCCAGGGACUCCUCGGCAGGAGAGGAACCAGGUAAAGAAAAGGGCUGGUGGGAGCAUCCUGUGGGUUCUGGGGCAGGACUCGGAGCUAUGGGGGAUGGAACCUCGGCUCCAGGCUCUGUUUGAGUCCCCGGGAUCCUGCUCAGGGGACAAGAGGCCUCUAGAGACAGGUCACGGGAGGAGAGACCUCAGGGGCGACCAGAGCCAGCACAGUGGGACCCUCACGCCUCCUUGUUCUAUGCAGCUCUCUUCUCCUCCUCGGCUGGGUGUCCCCUCCCGCCCUCUGGUUCCUCCUCCAGUGACCCCACUUCUUCCUCCUGCCCUCUGCUGCCUUGGCUUCCCACUGUGCACCCGGAUCUUCGGCUUUCCACUUCCUUUCUCUGACUUACUUGCUGAGCUUUGAUUCUCCCCGUCCUGAGCACCCACCUCAUUCUCCUCUGGCCCUGUUAACUCCCCUUUCUGCUCCCUUGUUCUGGAUCCCGUGGCUCCAAGUCCUCCAGUCCCACUCCCCAUAACUUAGACCCCCCAACUCCUCCCCGCAGCACCACCCCUCUCUUUCUCCUGGAUCUUUGAGCACCAUGUCAUUUUGCAUCUGCUGCUGUUUCUGUCUCCCUUCUUCCUCUGCACCUUUAACCUGCUCUCCCAUCUGCUCUGGAGCCCCGGAAAGCCCAGCAGAGCCAGCAGCCUCUCCCUGAGGUCCCCCUUCCUCCAGCCUCUCAGUUCCCUGGAGACACACGAGGCCUGGACUUUCCUGCCUGGCAGGUCCACACUCCGAGUCCUCCAGGGGCCGGCUGGUCUCAGCCGGGUGCUCGUCAUCACAGGAAGGCCUGUGUCUGGUCCGGGCAUAGGCGUUGGAGGAUGUUUCCUCCUUCCCUUCUGCUUGUCCCGUUUCCAAUAUCAAAGACGUGAGUUCUGGUUUAAAGUCCACCUCCACGCUAGUGUCCAGAUCCCUGGAUACCGAGGCCGUGUCCAGACAGUCACCCUGGUCAGGGCAGGCCAGGAAAUCCAGGGAAGCUGGCGUCCUUGCCUGUCUAUCUUCCAGGCUCCAGGGCCCGGCCUCCUGGCAUGAGGGGGUAUCAUCACAGGCCUCAGCCAUCAGGGUUUCCUGGUCGGUCUCCACCUCUGGAGAGGCUUCGUUGAGGAGAGAGGUCAUGCUCUCAGCUGCACGGUCAUUCGCAUCCCUCACAUGUCUCUGCUGGGUCUCCAAGAGUGUGCAGCCCUCAGCCCACUGACACCGCGGGUCCUCACCCUCUUCGGCUGCAGGCUCCAAGGCAGGGGUCUUGCUGCUCCUCAUGGGAGCUGCCCAGAUAACAGGGAAUUCUGCUUUGGCAGGGAUGGGAGUCGAGGCUCCAUGCUGGGGCUCCUCCGCCUCCAUCAGCACUGAAUCCUAAAGAGGAAUAAGAGACCAAGUUUCCACCCCCUCUUCCGCUUUAUUUGUUAUUUAUCCAGAGGGACAGACCAUAAAGAACAAGCAUGGGGCAUUUCUUUGGUUCCAUUUGCAGUCAUUCUUUGAGACAAAACGUCCUUCACAAAGUAAGCAGUGGCUUCUAUAAAAUUUAUCAUUGAUUUGUUCAUUUAAUAAAUAUUUGCCGAGUCACCCUUUCAAGGGUGGGGCAUUCAGUAGCAAACGAGGCAAACAGACUGUGUCCUCAUGGAGCCUGCAGUCUUGUGAAGGAGACAGAUGAAAACAAUUACGUUAGGGCACCAGACCGCUGUCAGAGAGCUCCCAGCAUUCCCCAGUGGUCAUUAAGCUCUAGGUGGUAUGACGUCAUGGUGUCUCCCUGUCGACUCUCUGGACACCAAGAGUGACUCAGGCCCAUAUAACUCCCAAACAGUGUGAGGGACACACCCUAGAUCUUACAGCCCAGAGGAGCAGUGUCUGGAGGGGAAUCCUCCUUCUAAACUGCUGACGGGAUUAAAACAGGUCUGGCCAUUAUGGCCAGUGCCUGAGAUACCACAGCACCGUAUAAUCUCCUUUAUAGAGGGUCUGAAUUUCACUCACCUUAUUUUACAGAGUGUCUAGCAAAGCCUGUGACUAAUUAACAACAACAAAAAAAUUGUGUUUCAAUUAUAUAACAGCUUUAGUAAAGUGGAAUGAUAACUAGACUUAGAUGAGAACCAGAUGAGAUUAGACAAGAACAAGAGUAGAUACAAAGGGUACCCACUCCAAUGAGGGCCAUCAAACUGGGGACCCCUCACCAUCUUACUCCCCCCUUCUCUCUAGCAUGAACUCAUCUCAUCACUUGUCAUAUUUUGAUCUUCCCACCUCUCUUUGCUACUUUGCAAAGAAUUUACAAACCAAUGGAGAGGAAUUGCUUCUGUUUCUUGCAGUUCAGAGCAACCCACACUUCCCUCUGUCCAUCAUCCCCCUCUGACUAUGCCAGAGCACCCUCACCUCCAAGUGCCAUCUUCUGUAGCCUGCCUUCUCAGGACCUGGUGCAGUGGGUUAGCUCAUUCUCUAGCACCUUCACCUUCUCUGUUGGAACCAUCCCACCAGCCUUUAAGCAUGUUUGUGGCUUUCUUCUCUUUCCAAGAUGUACUUGGAGUUCUUCACACCUGCUCUCCUCAUAUCCUUGCAUCUCCUCUACCUCCAACCGAACUUUAAGGGCACCACUUUGCUCACCUCCCCUACAACCUUCAACGUGCUAACUCUAAACAAGACUCUGUGGAUGCUUAUUUUCGGUGGUUCUUGCCAGCAUCUGACAUUUGACACUGCAGUGGACACCAAUUUGACAUUACACAUACAGGUAGUUAUUUGUGAGACUACAUUUUUUCCUCUUAAGUUUUCCCCAACCCUUUAAUUGACUCAUUAGAACUGACUCAUUGGAAAAGACCCUGAUGCUGGGAAAGACUGAAGGUGGGAGGAGAAGGGGACGACAGAGGAUGAGAUAGUUGGAUGGCAUCAAGGACUCAAUGAACAUGAGUUUGAGUAAGCUCUGGGAGCUGGUGAUGGACAGGGAAACCUGGCGUGCUGCAGUCCAUGGGGUCAUAAAGAGUCGGACACAGCUGAGUGACUGAACUGACUGACUGACUGAACCCUCUAACUGGGUUACUUUGCUCCUCUUUGUAGCACUUAUCACCUAGAGUUCACUUUAUUUCUCCUUUGUAGCACUUACGCAAUUAUAAUUAUGUAGUUACGUGUGUAUUUUAGUUUAUCAUCAAUCUCAAACAAUGAGCUUCAGAAGAUCAAGAACAACAUCUGUUUUGCUCAAUUGUCUAUACCUACGACAGCUGACUCACUGGAAAAGACCCUGAUGCUGGGAAAGAUUGAAGGCAAAAGGAGAGUAGGCCAGCAGGGAAUGAGAUGGUUGGAUGGCAUCACCAACUCCAUGGACAUGAACUUGAGCAAACUCCAGGAGAUAGUGAGGGACAGGGAGCCCUGGCAAACUGAAGUCCAUGAUGAGGUUGCAAAGAGUCAGACACGACUUAGCAACUGAACAACAGAAUAUAAUACGUGACCCAUACUAAGCACUCAGUAAAUAUUUUUCCAUGAUGGAAUAAAAAUUCUUGUUUCCCUCCUGGCUGACAUUCCCCAUAUUUAAUUGAGCAUUAACUCCUCUGGAUCCUUCCUCCUAAAUCUCACUCAAGUCUGUGCAUUUUCUCCAUCUCCACUGCUAGAGUCUGGUCCAUGCGGCUGCCCUCUCGUACCCAGUUCACUGCAGCUGGCCACUGGCCUCCACACAGCUUCUCUUGCCCUCUUUCCAAGGCAUUCUCUCCUUAGUGCCUGAGUGAUCAAAGGCCCCACUUCUGGUUAAAUUUCUUCAGUAGUCUCUAACUAUUGGAGUGAAACCCAAAUGUAUAUUUUGGGUAGCAUGCCCUCCACAACCUGGCCUCUGUCUUCCCUACAGCAGCAUCCUUGUCGGUCACCACUUCCCCCAUCCCACUGUCUUCCAGAGCCUUCAGCUCCCCUUCCUGUCACCUGGAGGCCUUCACGGGUGUGGCUCUGCGACCUGGAGUCCUCUUCUCCUGCCCAGAGGACACUUGACUACUUCUUUCACACUUGGAGUUAUGCAUAUAGUGUCUACUUUCUGGGCCAGACCAUGAGCUUCAGGAAAACACAGAUGCUGCCAUGUUAACUGUUCAAUUCCUUCUUCCCGCAGCUUAGCUGGCCCUCAGCAAAGAUUUAUUGCACAGAUGAAGGAAGGAAGAACAUAGACUUACAAGAAUGUUGUCCAACUUUUAGUUCUGCCUUUUUCGUAUCUUACUAAUUUUAACAUAAUUGUAGAAAUCAUGUAGUUGAACAUUUUUUUUCUCUUAUUCUCAGAAAGGGGAUAAUAUAUGCUGUUUGCAAAGAGUCCUAAUAAAGAUUAAAGAAGGCAACAUAAAAAAUGAAGAAAAAAAAAAGGAUUGGUAACACUGGUGGUAGCAGACAUGUCAGGAAUUGUAUGUGUCUUGGGAGAAAGAAAAUGUAAGAGGCAAAUAUUGGAUUUAUGAGCAGGAUGGACUUUUGGAGACACACAGAAAAUUUUGCCUAAUCUACAGAUGAGGAAACUGAAAGUCAGCUAACCUUCAAGUUUCCUGAGUACAGGUGAACUCAAAACAUGGUCUCCUGACUUCAGUCUACCAUGAGCAACUGGAAGUCCAGCUGUAAGAAAGCUGGCCAGUCACUAGUCUAGAGGAG
rnacentral:lncRNA from 1 species